GUAUUUUAUUUCCCAUAAUGAGGAAGUGUUGCUGUCUGGUUGUAGUUGUAGUUGAUGUGUGAGUGCUUGUGUGUUUCUGUCAGUCGGAGCAGCUGCAGAUCAAGCUCAUCCAGGAGAAAGAUCUCAACGAUCAGCUGGAGUGUGAGAAGGCCAUCCUGGAUAGACAGCUGCGGGAUCUGCGCAGAGAGAUGGAGGAGCUGCAGAAUAACAGAGUGGAGGUGGACUCAAUCACCAGAGCCGAGAUUAAAGCCAAAGAACUGGAGAACACACUGCGCACCGAGGAGAGGUCAGACACACACACUUCAUCUGUAUAAUAUCUAAUAAUGCUUCAUCUAAUAACAGUUUGCAGUAAGUCUGAAUGAUGGGUUGGCUGUGAUUCUCUUCAGGAAUAAAGUGGUGAUGAACAACAGCAUCAGCAAACUGGAGAAGAAGAUCCACGAGCUGAUGGAGCAGAUGGAGGAGGAGCACAAGAUCUCCACCGAACAGAGAGAGCUGAUGAAUCAGCGCAUCCGUUCACUGAAGCGGCAGCUGAACGAGGCCGAGGAAGAGGCGAGUCGACGAGACGUCCAGCACCGACACACACACAGAGAACUGAUGGAGGAGAGAGAAAAUAACAGCCGCCUGCAGAGACAACUGCUGGACCAACAGCUGCACAACAAGAGGAAAGAGUCGAGACAAACUCUGGAAAGCCUGAAGCUGAACCUGAGUGAAGAGGAUGAUGAUGAGGAAGAGCAGCAACAGAGCCAGUCCAAACCCACAGAGAAGCAGAUCUCUCAGGUGUGACGGGACCAGACCUAACCGCAGCUAAAACUGACAAAACCCAAUGUAAACCUGCCGUUUCCCCUCAAAUAUCAAAGACUUCAAACCAAAACAGAUCACACAAACCACUUGAGUCCAGGUCUACGAGAGAGACCGGAUCCAGAGAAGCUCCGCAUUAAACAGGAAGUGGAAAAGCUCUUUCCUGUGGACUGACGCUCUUAGGAUUUUAUUGAUAAGUUCUUUCAGGAGAAUCUGCUUCGCCGUCACUGCCAAAUCUGGUUACAGUAAGCUAUUGUGUGCAUUAGUUCUUUAUCAAGCUCUCCUUUCUGUUUCUGUUGUUAUUUUCAGUUCAAUCAGCUGUUUACAUUAUGCACAUAUUAAUAUAAUGGAGAUAGG
rnacentral:lncRNA from 1 species